rnacentral:pre_miRNA from 1 species
UUUGUAGUGUUAGUGUGUCCCAUGCAAUAUUGGGAUGUAGUUAUACUAGAA